AGGGAACUCCCUGACCCCUUGCUCUUCCCGAGUGAGGCAAUGCCUCGCCCUGCUUCAGCUCGCGCACGGUGCGCGCACCCACUGACCUGCGCCCACACCUCAGAUGGAAAUGCAGAAAUCACCCGUCUUCUGCGUCGCUCACGCUGGGAGCUGUAGACCGGAGCUUAUUCGGCCAUCUUGGCUCCUCCGUUCCCUCUAUGAGUCCAACCAGGAUGGCGACUUGACUGGAUUUUACAGUUUCAUUGACACGCAUGAGCUCUAUCAAACUUCUGGGAGUUUUUCUGAAAUGUUUACAUGGAAGGCACCUGGAGCCCAUUGAAUUUCCCUCUUCAAAUGCUUAAGUUUUCUUCUGUCUUGGUGGCUACUGCCUCCUUCUCACUUUCUGCCUUAGGUCAAGAUAAAUGAGUUUUUCCCCAAGAAAGCCAUAUGGAUCUCUGAGGUUUUGAACUCUAACCAAUGCUAUCUCGUUGAUUGCCUUUGGAUUUCAGGGUCUUAUUUUACGUCAACCUCAGCCUCUCUCUUCUGCAGUUCCAUAUCCACAUGAGCUACAAGAGUCCCAUGUAGGUCCCUUCCUCUGCUAAUAGCUGCCUCAUUGUACUGCUUCUGUAUUCACUUCAGAGAUAGAGGAUCAAAUGGUAGAAACUUUUGGCAAACUUUUGACCAGAGAAUGGCUUACAUGGGAAUUAAUUAUGCACUUGUUCGUUUUACUCUAUAGAACAAUCCCAUCUGUAUUGGAUCUGUAUGUUCCAUCUCCCAUGUGAAAGAAGCACCCUACAAAGAUAACUUCAGUCUGGGCACAGUGGCUCACACCUGUAAUCCCAGAACUUUGGGAGCCUGAGUGGGGAGGAUCUUUUGAGCCCAGGAGUUCGAGACUAGUCUGGGCAACAAAGAGAGACCCUGUUUCUAAAACAAAAAUAAAAACAAAGAUAUCUUCCGAGCCUGUUCAGUCUUUGGUCCUGGUUUAGAUAUAGGUAUAUAGAGAGAGCUAUUUGAGUAAUCAAUUCCCAAUAUGGUAUGAUUUGAGCAUUUGGAGAGGUCUUCUUUACAUAUCAUAGUACUUAGAUUAUUA
rnacentral:lncRNA from 10 species